UUCAAAAAAACAGAAUCGUCUUGGAAUUUCGUUAAUUUGAGAUUUACUGCAGACGAGUAUCCAACAAUAGCACGGUCCAGCAAUUUGUUUGCACCCCACGUCAACUAUAGAUACGAGAAUUCAUCUUCUUUGGUACUUUGAGUGUUGUUCUGCUCCAGUCCAAUCUACCUAGAGAAAGCUGAUUUAAAAAAAUUCGAACUAGAUGACUGCAGGAUGACAAAUCAUCCUAUCAUGAACCAAAAGGAAGGACUGGAAUGCAAAAAAUUUAAUUAAAUCAAAACGGAAUUAGAAAAUUAUUCACAAAGUUGUCUUUCGAACAACGAAUGUGUAUUUGAACACGUCCAUAAGAAGAAUGUACAAUCUAUAGAAACAUUGGGGACGUUGUUUUGCGGUGUCCAAUUCUUCUUUAUGAGCUCCGAAUUUUAGAUUUAAAGGAAAAGAAGAGAGCAGAGAAGAUGAAUUAUCAAACCAAGCGACAGAAUAAGGGAGUAGAGCAUACGCUACGACGCAAAACUUAAGAGCAGUGAUUUAUCACGUUAGAUAAGUUAUGUAAUAAUAAUCGUGUCAUACAGAUGGAACUCCAUUGAUUGAUGGAAUUCUGCAGAAUACCUCAAGCUUAUUUGCUGCUAAUUUGUGAACAUGUUUCGAAGUUGUAAGUUGUGAAAUCAAGUAUCUUUUAUCUACAUAUUUUAUAGGCGAGUCAUACUCAUCAAUGAAUAUGAUUCACCGAUAAAAUUGGACAGUGAAAAAAAUCUACAGAAUUAAACUACAAACAAAAAAAAAUCAACGUUUGAAAAAAAAACUGACAAGAGUUGAGUUAGAACAAAUGGUGAAAUGCAGAACAAGACAACUAUAGGAUUGUGCUGCCACAUACUCAUCGUAUAGGGUAUGAUCGUACCUGGGAACUAAAUUAUUGACAGUUAAAUUAGGCAGCGAAAAAAUCUACAGUCUUCAGCACCGAGCGCAACGAAUCACAAAUAUAAAACAUUAACUGGAAAAAACCCUUGACUAAAUUUGAGUUGGAAUAAAUGGAGGACAACUAUAGGACUCUGUAUGAAACUUUCCGCUAAUGAGCUUUGGACUUCAUUUAUGUACGCUAACCAUUUCGGAUAUGAUUGCAUUCUAACCUAUUAUCUAACAUGUUGAGGAGCAUUGAAACAAACUUAUCAGCAAUUUUUAUCAUUGUAUCAUACUCUUGUGUACUCAUACCUGCUUAUUAGUGGUUGGAAUUGGACAGUGAAAAAAUCUACAGUCUUCAGCCUCAAGAAGAAUUAAUAAAGAAACCUACAAAAACCAACUUUGUAAGAAAAGUGCUGAUUGGAAUAAAAUUGAAGAAGAAAUUCAAAUAUCCAUUGGGGGGAAAAAAUUUCAGAGGAAUAGUUCUUCAAGUAACUGAGAUCGGAACGGAACGGAACGGAUGAUUAAUUCAGAGGCGAGAACAAACUGCGACACUGACCCAACAACAACAACAAUAGAUACUAAGCUAGGUGGAAUAUACAGUACACAAUGCUUUCAUAUUCAAUCCUGAUCUUGAAAGUUGAAACGUCUGAAUUUUUGUAUUUUUAAAUUUUUCUAAUUGUAGGUAGAUGUUUUUUUUAUGUGCUCGAUAUUUUCAUCGAACAAAAGUUAGUUUGUCCUCAAAAAUAAUUUCAGAAUGGGUCGCCCUAAAAAAAAAAAAACAUUUUUUUUUUUUAGGGCGACCUGUAUUGAAAUUAUUUUUAAGAACAAACUAACUUUGUUUCAUGAAAAUAUUGAGCACAUAAAAAAUAGGUACCUAUACCUAAAUCGAAACUAGGUGAAUAAACUGCCUGUGAAUGUGUAGUAGGAAUGUUUUUUUUUUGUUAGAUUCGCAACACGCGCGUUACGAUUCUGCUCUUUGUACUUUAUGAUAACAUGAGAAAAAACCAAUAGAUCUAUAAAAUUAAGUAGACUUAAUUUUCGUUCACAACUUUCCAACAUCUUGUCAAACCUUAAAAAAAAAGAAGACGAGAAAAUGACCAGUUUGACAUUCCAAUACUUUAAAAAAGCAAUAAACUGCGUGAUAAACUUUCAAAAAUAGUUUUCAGACAUUUUGUCAGAUUUUGAAACUUAAAAAUAAUCCCCAUCAAUAGAAUUUGACUACUAAAGGUAAGUAGAAAACACAUCUUUGAUUUAAAUUACGAGUAGUUUACCUUGUGAAAGAGACUUAUCCCGAUACAGAUAACUUUUUUAGUAAAUAACAGAUGAUUUUUGGUGAAUUGAGUUACUGAAAGCUACAACUACAAGUAACUUCAUAAUAAUCUUUGGUAAAUGGCUAUCAAUUUUCAAAAAAUCAGUUCACCAACAGUUUUUGGUAAAUUACUGGUAAUUUCUAAUAGAUUACGGAUCAUUUCUGGUAAAUUAUUUAAUUUUUUUAUUUUUAUAUACAAUUUACCUAGGUCUCUCCAACAGCCAGAACCCCAGAAGCCAAUUACAGGAGAGACUGAUUAUAACUAAGGGGGAAUAGAAACUACGAGUGCAUAUCGUUUUAUAAACUGAAAAAAAUAUAAAAAUACAAAAUAAGGAAGUGAAGUGCAAAAAAUAAAAUAAAAUAGAAAAAAACGGAAACAGAAAAAAGAUACUAAAAACAAAAUAUAAGUUAACAUUUUUAAAUGGUGAUCUAUUCAGAGGAGAAAAAAAAACAAAACAAACUAGUAAAAAAUCCAAAUAUCAAGAUGGCUCACAAGUAACCCCCAAUGCGCCCAUGCCCAUGUUUCCAUGUCCCCCUCACCAUGCUACCCAUACUAAAAAUAUCAGCAUCUGCACAUCUACAGAGAAAAGUGUCUGAGAUGCACAUGUGUAUAGUAUAAUUGCUCAAGGAGAAUAUUUUUUUUGUCUAGAAUGGAUUUUUGGGGCCCAGAAAUUAAUUUUUCCCUAAAGCUUACUGUCAUUUAUAUUACAAUGGAUAACAUCAUAUAGGAACAUCAAUGUGAUUAUUUCUCUUAUUUUUCCAACAGUGAAUAACUUUGCCACACCAAUUAGGCAAUUACCAACAAAGAAGUGAAGUCUGCAAUCAAAUUGUCCAAAAACAGGAAGGCUGCCGGUAUGGAUAACAGAUUAAACACUUCAGACAAAAGGCAAUAAAUUGGAUCCAAAAAGAGUUUAAUGCCUGUACAGAAAACUCAAGACUGCCAAGACUAUGGCAACAGGCACAUGUUAUUGCUUUACAGAAACCAGGUAAAGAUGCAAAUGAUCCAAAGAGAUACAGGCCCAUCUCCCUUCCAUGCGGUGUCACCUACCUUAUACAAGAUUUUUGAAAAAAUAAUUUUGAAUUGCAUGGCUGAUGAUAUGGAUGAGGGACUGAUCAGAUAGCAGAAUGGAUUUAGACCAGGCAAACGAACAAACAAAUGUACAAAUGCACAAUUGCAAGAAUCAAGAAAGCACAACCACACAAUUGCACAACUGAAAGAUUGCACAACUGCAUGGUAGCACAACUGCACAAUUGCACAACUGCACAAUUACACAACUGCACAACUGCACAAUUGCACAAUUGCACAAUUGCACAACUGCACGAUUGCACAACUGCAAGAUUGCACAACUGCAUGGUAGCCAGGAAUGAAAACCAAUAUGAAAAAAAAUAUCGGUUAUUUUUUUAGCGGUUAUUUUUUUUAAAAUUUUUUAUUAUGGUUACAGUUAAGGGUUAUGGUUA